GGGCGGUUAGCUCAAAGGCAGAGCAUCACCUUGACAUGGUGAAGGUUGUAGGUUCAAGUCCUGCACCGCCUA
rnacentral:tRNA from 1 species